CCGGGCUCUUCCCCGUCGCGGCUGCGAGGGAGCGCCCGGGGUCGUCGGCGUCGCUCAGGUUUUUCUCUGGGGGCGCUUACUCCCAAGGCGUCUCUGCAACGUCGCUCCUUCCACCGCUAGGCCCAGGCCAGAGGCAUACAACGUGCAGGAGGCCCGAGGUGGGGCCAUGCGUGGUGCUGCCUCUGUAGGGGUAGACGCAAGUGUCUUUCAGCGAGGUUACAGCGGUGUGGUAAGAAGAGAUUAUGUUUCUGUGAGCGUCGAGGAUGACGUUGAAGCAGUGAUUAUUGACAAUUCUGAAGUGGAAGAUGGAGAAAACGGACUGUCCACACAAAGCUGCAUGUCAAUGGAACAGAACUCUGAAGUAAACAGUGAUGUUCACCAUGUGGCUCAACUUGCAUACGGAAGUGAAGGCUUAUCAGUGCUGGCUGAACGAGUGGUAUCACAGAUGAGCCAUUCUGCAAGUAUGCAGAGAGGAAAUCCUCGCACCCCUGAAAAAAUGGAUUACAUGUUUUCACAUAACAAGAGAAAACGACUUGCCCCUACUCUAGUGGGACAGAAUGUGGUAUGUGCAGCCAAACGAUAGUCCUUUCUUUUAAGGCCGCUACUUUGGAAAUGCCAUUUCUUGACAGUGAUCUCAUGGAAUGAGGUUGGAUAAGAGAAGUAAUGUGGGGUGGGAUAUCCACCUGGAGUGUCUGGAAGCUUCUAGCAGGGACAAAAUGUGUGCUGGAUACUGUAUGAGUGUUUAAAAACAACUCGUCCAAACAGGAAGGUAACUUGCACUAUUUCCCACGUGGAUGCUCUUAUUUAGAAGUAAAUAUGUCUUUGUGUAGUAAUUUAGGAUAAUAGACUUGAAACUUUAAUGUUGAAUAAAGAUUUGACUCCAUGAACA
rnacentral:lncRNA from 1 species